rnacentral:rRNA from 1 species
GAUGAGCGCUGGCGGCGUGCCUAAUACAUGCAGGUCGAGCGAACAGACGAGGAGCUUGCUCCUCUGACGUUAGCGGCGGACGGGUGAGUAACACGUGGAUAACCUACCUAUAAGACUGGGAUAACUUCGGGAAACCGGAGCUAAUACCGGAUAAUAUAUUGAACCGCAUGGUUCAAUAGUGAAAGACGGUUUUGCUGUCACUUAUAGAUGGAUCCGCGCCGCAUUAGCUAGUUGGUAAGGUAACGGCUUACCAAGGCGACGAUGCGUAGCCGACCUGAGAGGGUGAUCGGCCACACUGGAACUGAGACACGGUCCAGACUCCUACGGGAGGCAGCAGUAGGGAAUCUUCCGCAAUGGGCGAAAGCCUGACGGAGCAACGCCGCGUGAGUGAUGAAGGUCUUCGGAUCGUAAAACUCUGUUAUUAGGGAAGAACAAAUGUGUAAGUAACUAUGCACGUCUUGACGGUACCUAAUCAGAAAGCCACGGCUAACUACGUG